rnacentral:rRNA from 1 species
CCUACGGGAGGCAGCAGUGGGGAAUAUUGGGCAAUGGGCGCAAGCCUGACCCAGCAACGCCGCGUGAAGGAAGAAGGCUUUCGGGUUGUAAACUUCUUUUCUGAGGGACGAAGAAAGUGACAGUACCUCAGGUAUAAGCCACGGCUAACUACGUGCCAGCAGUCGCGGUAAUACGUAGGUGGCAAGCGUUAUCCGGAUUUAUUGGGUGUAAAGGGCGUGUAGGCGGGAAAGCAAGUCAGAUGUGAAAUCUCAGGGCUCAACCCUGAUCCUGCAUUGGAAACUGUUUUGCUUGUGUGCUGGAGAGGCAGGCGGAAUUCGUGGUGUAGCGGUGAAAUGCGUAGAUAUACGGAAGAACACCAGUGGCGAAGGCGGAUUGCUGGACAGUAACUGACGCUGAGGCGCGAAAGCGUGGGGAGCAAACAGGAUUAGAUACCCCUGUAGUC